GACGAACGCUGGCGGCGUGCUUAACACAUGCAAGUCGAACGGAAAGGCCCUGCUUUUGUGGGGUGCUCGAGUGGCGAACGGGUGAGUAACACGUGAGUAACCUGCCCUUGACUUUGGGAUAACUUCAGGAAACUGGGGCUAAUACCGGAUAGGAGCUCCUGCUGCAUGGUGGGGGUUGGAAAGUUUCGGCGGUUGGGGAUGGACUCGCGGCUUAUCAGCUUGUUGGUGGGGUAGUGGCUUACCAAGGCUUUGACGGGUAGCCGGCCUGAGAGGGUGACCGGCCACAUUGGGACUGACAUACGGCUCAGAGUCCUACGGGAGGCAGCAGUGGGGAAUAUUGCACAAUGGGCGGACGCCUGAUGCAGCAACGCCGCGUGCGGGAUGACGGCCUUCGGGUUGUAAACCGCUUUCGCCUGUGACGAAGCGUGAGUGACGGUAAUGGGUAAAGAAGCACCGGCUAACUACGUG
rnacentral:rRNA from 1 species